CACUAGGGGGGAGGAAGGAGGCGGGGUGGGGAGGUUGUUGGAUUUAGAGCCGGGCGGAGACCGCUGAGACUCAUUCCUCAGGAACAAGGGUCGGGUGUCAAGGAGACCUUUUCACACCAGCUCCCGUCCCCCGCCUACGGGUCCCUCAGGCUCCCUAUCAGCCCCUCCAGCUGCCUCAGUUAUCUCUGCACCCCCAUCUUCCUCCUCCCGACAUCGCAAACGUCGCAGGACUUCCAGCAAGUCGGAGGCAGGGGCUAGGGGUGGAGGCCAGGGUUCCAAGGAAAAGGGCCGAGGGAGUUGGGGAGGCCGCCACCACCACCACCACCCACUGCCUGCAGCAGGCUUCAAAAAGCAACAGCGCAAGUUCCAGUAUGGGAAUUAUUGCAAAUACUAUGGGUACCGCAAUCCUUCCUGUGAGGAUGGGCGCCUUCGGGUGUUGAAGCCUGAGUGGUUUCGGGGCCGGGACGUCCUAGAUCUGGGCUGCAAUGUGGGCCAUCUGACCCUGAGCAUUGCCUGCAAGUGGGGCCCGUCCCGCAUGGUGGGCCUGGAUAUCGAUUCCCGGCUCAUCCAUUCUGCCCGCCAAAACAUCCGA
rnacentral:lncRNA from 10 species